rnacentral:tRNA from 1 species
GGACCAUGGCUCAGUGGUAGAGCAUCUGCAUGACAUGCAAAAGGGUCUAAAUUCAAUCCCUGGCAUCUCCA